rnacentral:misc_RNA from 1 species
UCUUGCCCCUUUCAAAGAUAAGCGCGAGAGAGCAGAUGACAAGGACGGAGACGAGCUGCUCGUAGACAACGAGAAUGAUGGGGUUGAUGCCACUGGAUGGGUCGAGGACGGACUGGAGGAGGGUUAGCUGGACCGCGAGGCAGAGCUGCCUCAAGAUCAUCAGCACAUACGGCAUACAAGCUUCCAUAGACCAUCCGAUAACAGUACUACUAGAAACCCUCAUUUCCUGCUACUCAACUUAAUCUCCUCUCAG